rnacentral:rRNA from 1 species
AGAGUUUGAUCCUGGCUCAGGAUGAACGCUAGCGGCAGGCUUAACACAUGCAAGUCGAGGGGCAGCGGGGAGGAAGCUUGCUUUCUCCGCCGGCGACCGGCGCACGGGUGAGUAACACGUAUGCAACCUGCCCCUGUCAGGGGGACAACCCGCCGAAAGGCGGGCUAAACCCGCGUACAUGCCACCGGGGCAUCCCGGAGGCAGGAAAGGCUUCGGCCGGACAGGGAUGGGCACGCGGCGCAUUAGGCAGUAGGCGGGGUAACGGCCCACCUAACCGACGAUGCGUAGGGGUUCUGAGAGGAAGGUCCCCCACACUGGUACUGAGACACGGACCAGACUCCUACGGGAGGCAGCAGUGAGGAAUAUUGGUCAAUGGUCGGGAGACUGAACCAGCCAAGCCGCGUGAGGGAGGAAGGUACAGAGUAUCGUAAACCUCUUUUGUCAGGGAACAAAGACUGGGACGCGUCCCCGGAUGAGUGUACCUGAAGAAAAAGCAUCGGCUAACUCCGUGCCAGCAGCCGCGGUAAUACGGAGGAUGCGAGCGUUAUCCGGAUUUAUUGGGUUUAAAGGGUGCGCAGGCGGUCUGUUAAGUCAGCGGUCAAAGCCCGGGGCUCAACCCCGGCCCGCCGUUGAAACUGGCAGUCUCGAGUUGGAGAGAAGUAUGCGGAAUGCGCGGUGUAGCGGUGAAAUGCAUAGAUAUCGCGCAGAACUCCGAUUGCGAAGGCAGCAUGCCGGCUCCACACUGACGCUGAGGCACGAAAGCGUGGGUAUCGAACAGGAUUAGAUACCCUGGUAGUCCACGCAGUAAACGAUGAAUGCUGGCUGUCCGGGGGGACUGACCCCUGGGUGGCGAAGCGAAAGCGAUAAGCAUUCCACCUGGGGAGUACGCCGGCAACGGUGAAACUCAAAGGAAUUGACGGGGGCCCGCACAAGCGGAGGAACAUGUGGUUUAAUUCGAUGAUACGCGAGGAACCUUACCCGGGCUCAAACGGGGAGUGGCGCAGGCAGAGACGCCUGUUUCCCACGGGACACUCCCCGAGGUGCUGCAUGGUUGUCGUCAGCUCGUGCCGUGAGGUGUCGGCUUAAGUGCCAUAACGAGCGCAACCCCCGCGUGCAGUUGCUAACAGUCAACGCUGAGGACUCUGCACGGACUGCCGGCGCAAGCCGCGAGGAAGGCGGGGAUGACGUCAAAUCAGCACGGCCCUUACGUCCGGGGCGACACACGUGUUACAAUGGGUGGUACAGCGGGAAGCCAGGCGGCGACGCCGAGCGGAACCCGAAAUCCACUCUCAGUUCGGAUCGGAGUCUGCAACCCGACUCAAGUGAAGCUGGAUUCGCUAGUAAUCGCGCAUCAGCCAUGGCGCGGUGAAUACGUUCCCGGGCCUUG